rnacentral:rRNA from 1 species
AUGCGUAGGGGGCGAGCGUUGUCCGGAAUGAUUGGGCGUAAAGGGCGCGUAGGCGGCCCGGUAAGUCUGGAGUGAAAGUCCUGUUUUUAAGAUGGGAAUUGCUUUGGAUACUGUCGGGCUUGAGUGCAGGAGAGGUAAGUGGAAUUCCCAGUGUAGCGGUGAAAUGCGUAGAGAUUGGGAGGAACACCAGUGGCGAAGGCGACUUACUGGACUGUAACUGACGCUGAGGCGCGAAAGUGUGGGGAGCAAACAGGAUUAGAUACCCUGGUAGUCCACACGGUAAACGAGGAAUGCUAGGUGUAGGGGGUAGCGACCCCUUCUGUGCCGCAGGCAACACAAUAAGCAUUCCGCCUGGGGAGUACGGCCGCAAGGUUGAAACUCAAAGGAAUUGACGGGG